rnacentral:misc_RNA from 1 species
UGCGSAAGGAUCAUUACCGAGUGCGGGCUGCCUCCGGGCGCCCAACCUCCCACCCGUGACUACCUAACACUGUUGCUUCGGCGGGGAGCCCCCCAGGGGCGAGCCGCCGGGGACCACUGAACUUCAUGCCUGAGAGUGAUGCAGUCUGAGCCUGAAUACAAAUCAGUCAAAACUUUCAACAAUGGAUCUCUUGGUUCCGGCAUCGAUGAAGAACGCAGCGAACUGCGAUAAGUAAUGUGAAUUGCAGAAUUCAGUGAAUCAUCGAGUCUUUGAACGCACAUUGCGCCCCCUGGCAUUCCGGGGGGCAUGCCUGUCCGAGCGUCAUUGCUGCCCUCAAGCCCGGCUUGUGUGUUGGGUCGUCGUCCCCCCCGGGGGACGGGCCCGAAAGGCAGCGGCGGCACCGUGUCCGGUCCUCGAGCGUAUGGGGCUUUGUCACCCGCUCGAUUAGGGCCGGCCGGGCGCCAGCCGGCGUCUCCAACCUUAUUUUUCUCAGGUUGACCUCGGAUCAGGUAGGGAUACCCGCUGAACUUAAGCAUAUCAAUAAGCGGAGGA